CCUCGUCCCAUUCCCUCAUUGUAGCAACCCCAGUAACUAGGAUGAUAGGUAACAUAAUACCAAGCUGAGGCUUUUGCAUAUACAUCAUCAGCUUCAGAAUCCACUCCACUUCCCUUUUCAUUAAACCAGGACCUAGCUUCUUUCCUCAAGGACCUCACAGCCAUUCCAAUUGCUUCUGCAUCCCUUCUCUUGGUGAAAGAUUUUGACAUUUUCAUAAUAUUUCCACUGAGAAUUUCAGCCUCAGUUCUGAUGCCAUAAUAGUCCAUAUGAUUGCCCAACUUAAAGUCAUAACUGCUUUUGUAAUAAAAGGCAUCAUCUAUGUAAUCCUCAAAGCCAUCAACUUCCAUAUCAGAGUCAUAACACUGCUCCGCCACUUCCUUAGUAAAGGACUUGAUAGAACUUGCAUGCGGUGCAAUGUCUCUCACUUCCCGAAAAAGCUUGCCAAUCACAUUCUGAGAU
rnacentral:misc_RNA from 1 species